rnacentral:rRNA from 1 species
UACGGGGGGAGCAAGCGUUGUUCGGAUUUACUGGGCGUAAAGGGCGCGUAGGCGGUCAGCACAAGUCAGUUGUGAAAUCUCCGGGCUUAACUCGGAAAGGUCAACUGAUACUGUGCGACUAGAGUGCAGAAGGGGCAACUGGAAUUCUCGGUGUAGCGGUGAAAUUCGUAGAUAUUCGGAGGAACACCAGUGGCGAAGGCGGCUCACUGGUCCAUUACUGACGCUGAGGUGCGAAAGCGUGGGGAGCAAACAGG